UAGGGAAUCUUCGGCAAUGGACGAAAGUCUGAUCGAGCAACGCCGCGUGAGUGAAGAAGGCUUUCGGAUCGUAAAACUCUGUUGUUAGAGAAGAACAAGGACGUUAGUAACUGAACGUCCCCUGACGGUAUCUAACCAGAAAGCCACGGCUAACUACGUGCCAGCAGCCGCGGUAAUACGUAGGUGGCAAGCGUUGUCCGGAUUUAUUGGGCGUAAAGCGAGCGCAGGCGGUUUCUUAAGUCUGAUGUGAAAGCCCCCGGCUCAACCGGGGAGGGUCAUUGGAUACUGGGAGACUUGAGUGCAGAAGAGGAGGGUGGAAUUCCAUGUGUAGCGGUGAAAUGCGUAGAUAUAUGGAGGAACACCAGUGGCGAAGGCGGCUCUCUGGUCUGUAACUGACGCUGAGGCUCGAAAGCGUGGGGAGCAAACAGG
rnacentral:rRNA from 1 species